rnacentral:rRNA from 1 species
CCUGACUGCUAUCGGAUUGAUACUAAGCCAUGCGAGUCAUUGUAGCAAUACAAGGCAUACGGCUCAGUAACGCGUAGUCAACCUAACCUAUGGACGGGAAUAACCUCGGGAAACUGAGAAUAAUGCCCGAUAGAACAUUAUACCUGGAAUGGUUUAUGUUCCAAAUGAUUUAUCGCCGUAGGAUGGGACUGCGGCCUAUCAGUUUGUUGGUGAGGUAAUGGCCCACCAAGACUAUUACAGGUACGGGCUCUGAGAGGAGUAGCCCGGAGAUGGGUACUGAGACACGGACCCAGGCCCUAUGGGGCGCAGCAGGCGAGAAAACUUUGCAAUGUGCGAAAGCACGACAAGGUUAAUCCGAGUGAUUUCUGCUAAAGAAAUCUUUUGUUAGUCCUAGAAACACUAACGAAUAAGGGGUGGGCAAGUUCUGGUGUCAGCCGCCGCGGUAAAACCAGCACCUCAAGUGGUCAGGAUGAUUAUUGGGCCUAAAGCAUCCGUAGCCGGCUCUGUAAGUUUUCGGUUAAAUCUGUACGCUUAACGUACAGGCCGCCGGGAAUACUGCAAAGCUAGGGAGUGGGAGAAGUAGACGGUACUCGGUAGGAAGUGGUAAAAUGCUUUGAUCUAUCGAUGACCACCUGUGGCGAAGGCGGUCUACUAGAACACGUCCGACGGUGAGGGAUGAAAGCUGGGGAGCAAACCGGAUUAGAUACCCGGGUAGUCCCAGCUGUAAACUAUGCAAACUCAGUGAUGCAUUGGCUUGUGGCCAAUGCAGUGCUGCAGGGAAGCCGUUAAGUUUGUCGCCUGGGAAGUACGUACGCAAGUAUGAAACUUAAAGGAAUUGGCGGGGGAGCACUACAAGGGGUGGAGCGUGCGGUUU